rnacentral:tRNA from 1 species
GCCUGGGUGGCUCAGUUGGUUGAGCGUCUGAUUUCAGCUCAAGUCAUGAUCUUACAGUUUGUGGGUUCGGGCCCCGCAUCGGGCU